CCUACGGGAGGCAGCAGUGGGGAAUAUUGGACAAUGGGCGAAAGCCUGAUCCAGCCAUGCCGCGUGUGUGAAGAAGGCCUUCGGGUUGUAAAGCACUUUCAGUGGGGAAGAAAGCCUUGGGGCUAAUACCCUCGAGGAAGGACAUCACCCACAGAAGAAGCACCGGCUAACUCCGUGCCAGCAGCCGCGGUAAUACGGAGGGUGCGAGCGUUAAUCGGAAUUACUGGGCGUAAAGCGCGCGUAGGCGGUCUGAUAAGCCGGUUGUGAAAGCCCCGGGCUCAACCUGGGAACGGCAUCCGGAACUGUCAGGCUAGAGUGCAGCAGAGGAAGGUAGAAUUCCCGGUGUAGCGGUGAAAUGCGUAGAGAUCGGGAGGAAUACCAGUGGCGAAGGCGGUCUUCUGGACUGACACUGACGCUGAGGUGCGAAAGCGUGGGUAGCAAACAGGAUUAGAUACCCGAGUAGUC
rnacentral:rRNA from 1 species